rnacentral:rRNA from 1 species
AUUGAACGCUGGCGGCAUGCUUUACGCAUGCAAGUCGAACGGUAACAGGGUGCUUGCACCGCUGACGAGUGGCGAACGGGUGAGUAAUGCGUCGGAACGUGCCGAGUAGUGGGGGAUAACGCAGCGAAAGUUGUGCUAAUACCGCAUACGUACUGAGGUAGAAAGUGGGGGACCUUCGGGCCUCGCGCUAUUCGAGCGGCAGACGUCGGAUUAGCGAGUAGGUGAGGUAAAGGCUCACCUAGGCGACGAUCAGUAGCAGGUCUGGGGAGAUGGACCGCCCAACUGGGGCCUGAGACACGCCCAGACCUCUUACGGGAGGCAGAGUUGGGGAUUUUGGACAAUGGGCGAAAGCCUGAUCCAGCCAUGCCGCGUGUCUGAAGAAGGCCUUCGGGUUGUAAAGGACUUUUGUCGGGGAGGAAAUCCCCAGCGUUAAUACCGCUGGGGGAUGACAGUACCUGAAGAAUAAGCACCGGCUAACUACGUGCCAGCAGCCGCAGUAAUAC